rnacentral:snRNA from 1 species
AUUUUUAAGUCCAUUUGAAGAUAUCAGGUAAAACUGGAACGAAACAGAAAAGAUUAGCAUGAUCCUUGCCCAAGAAUAACACGCACAAAUCAAAAAAUGAUCCAAAUUAUA